rnacentral:rRNA from 1 species
UGCAGUCGAGCGGAGACAGUGAGUAGCUUGCUAUGAGCUGUUUUAGCGGCGGACGGGUGAGUAACGCGUGAGCAACCUUUCCCAGACAGGGGAAUAACACACCGAAAGGUGUACUAAUACCGCAUAAGACCACGGGAUCACAUGGUUCUGAGGUAAAAGAUUUAUCGGUUUGGGGUGGGCUCGCGUCCGAUUAGGUAGUUGGUGAGGUAACGGCCCACCAAGCCGACGAUCGGUAGCCGACCUGAGAGGGUGAUCGGCCACAUUGGGACUGAGACACGGCCCAAACUCCUACGGGAGGCAGCAGUGGGGAAUAUUGGGCAAUGGAGGAAACUCUGACCCAGCAACGCCGCGUGGAGGAAGAAGGUUUUCGGAUCGUAAACUCCUGUCCUUGGAGACGAGUAGAAGACGGUAUCCAAGGAGGAAGCCCCGGCUAACUACGUGCCAGCAGCCGCGGUAAUACGUAGGGGGCAAGCGUUGUCCGGAAUAAUUGGGCGUAAAGGGCGCGUAGGCGGCUCGGUAAGUCUGGAGUGAAAGUCCUGCUUUUAAGGUGGGAAUUGCUUUGGAUACUGUCGGGCUUGAGUGCAGGAGAGGUUAGUGGAAUUCCCAGUGUAGCGGUGAAAUGCGUAGAGAUUGGGAGGAACACCAGUGGCGAAGGCGACUAACUGGACUGUAACUGACGCUGAGGCGCGAAAGUGUGGGGAGCAAACAGGAUUAGAUACCCUGGUAGUCCACACUGUAAACGAUGAAUGCUAGGUGUAGGGGGUAUCGACCCCUUCUGUGCCGCAGUCAACACAAUAAGCAUUCCGCCUGGGGAGUACGGCCGCAAGGU